rnacentral:rRNA from 1 species
GGGGGUGGUGGAAAGCCUUCGGGUGGUUUUGGAUGGACUCACGGCCUAUCAGCUUGUUGGUGAGGUAAUGGCUCACCAAGGCGACGACGGGUAGCCGGCCUGAGAGGGUGACCGGCCACACUGGGACUGAGACACGGCCCAGACUCCUACGGGAGGCAGCAGUGGGGAAUAUUGCACAAUGGGCGAAAGCCUGAUGCAGCGACGCCGCGUGAGGGAUGACGGCCUUCGGGUUGUAAACCUCUUUCAGCAGGGAACAAGGCCAGGCUUUUGUCUGGUUGAGGGUACUUGCAGAAGAAGCGCCGGCUAACUACGUGCCAGCAGCCGCGGUAAUACGUAGGGCGCAAGCGUUGUCCGGAAUUAUUGGGCGUAAAGAGCUCGUAGGCGGUUUGUCGCGUCUGCUGUGAAAGCCCGGGGCUUAACCCCGGGUCUGCAGUGGGUACGGGCAGACUAGAGUGCAGUAGGGGAGACUGGAAUUCCUGGUGUAGCGGUGAAAUGCGCAGAUAUCAGGAGGAACACCGAUGGCGAAGGCAGGUCUCUGGGCUGUUACUGACGCUGAGGAGCGAAAGCAUGGGGAGCGAACAGGAUUAGAUACCCUGGUAGUCCAUGCCGUAAACGUUGGGCACUAGGUGUGGGGGACAUUCCACGUUUUCCGCGCCGUAGCUAACGCAUUAA